rnacentral:tRNA from 1 species
AGGCACGUAGCUCAGCUGGAAGAGCGCUACCUCGACGCGGUAGAGGUCGUCGGUUCGAUCCCGUCCGUGCCUA